UACGUAGGGGGCAAGCGUUGUCCGGAAUUAUUGGGCGUAAAGCGCGCGCAGGCGGUCUCUUAAGUCUGAUGUGAAAGCCCACGGCUCAACCGUGGAGGGUCAUUGGAAACUGGGGGACUUGAGUAUAGGAGAGGAAAGUGGAAUUCCACGUGUAGCGGUGAAAUGCGUAGAUAUGUGGAGGAACACCAGUGGCGAAGGCGACUUUCUGGCCUAUAACUGACGCUGAGGCGCGAAAGCGUGGGGAGCAAACAGG
rnacentral:rRNA from 1 species